AUGAAGCUAGAGUUAGGGUUAUGGUUAGGGUUGAAACAGGUUGUGGACAUGAAGCUAGAGUUAGGGUUAUGGUUAGGGUUAUGGAUAGGGUUGAAGCAGGGUGUGGACAUGAAGCUGGAGUUAGGGUUAUGGUUAGGGUUGAAACAGGGUGUGGACAUGAAGCUGGAGUUAGGGUUGUGGUUAGGGUUGAAACAGGGUGUGGACAUGAAGCUAGAGUUAUGGUGGUGGUUAGGGUUGAAACAGGUUGUGGACAUGAAGCUGGAGUUAGGGUUAUGGUUAGGGUUGAAACAGGGUGUGGACAUGAAGCUAGAGUUAUGGUGGUGGUUAGGGUUGAAACAGGUUGUGGACAUGAAGCUGGAGUUAGGGUUAUGGUUAGGGUUGAAACAGGUUGUGGACAUGAAGCUAGAGUUAGGGUUGUGGUUAGUGUUUAGAAGGGUGUGGAUAUACAGUAAAACUAGGGUUAGGAUUAAGGUUAGGAUUAAGGUUAGGGUUAAGGUGAUGGCUAAAAUCAACAUAUCACUUGUCUCUCAUUGAUUCAAUUUAGGUCAGAACCAAGACAAGUGCUACUCUACAGUGCUGACUGUUCUUUAACUCAAAUCAUUUCCUCCAAGCCAGGUUUUUCAGGGAACCUUCUCUACGACCAGAUGCUGUUUUGGUAAUUGAAGCAUUUUUAAUGGUUGCCUAGAAACUGGACUGAGCUGAAUACCUAAUAUGAUGCAUUAUAAUAAGGCACACUUCUAUUGUUCCACCAUUGAGAGCAGUGAAUGGAGAGAGAGUGGGAAACCAAGGAAAACUCACUCACAGACUGCCUUUGGGACAAUAGAAUCCUGUACCCUGUAUGAUGAGGGGUGAGAAGGAAUUUCACUAGUACGCUUUCAUCAUUGAAUUCUAGAUAUGAAUUAUAUCACAGAUAUGUCCUCUGCAUCAAAAUGCUACAAAAUCAUGAAUAGGUAGCAGCUAUUUUAUGUUUCACAUAUUGCACCCAGUGCUGUGGGAUCAGGGGCUAUGUGACAGUGGUAAAACUUAGCUUCACCAAUUGAAAUUAGACAAUGAAUUAUAAAGACUGCACAAGUGUUUUUUUUAUUAUGACAAGGUUUAAGAGGAAUUAGGUAACAGACCAUUAAAGACAUUAUGUCACACUUUAUACAAAACAUGAUCAGAUUGUAGAAUCAAAGAUGAUUCAGCAUGCGCUGACCAACCGGCAAGUGUCUUCACUGACAUUUUCAACCUCUCCCUGUCUGAUUCUGUAAUACCAACAUGUUUCAAGCAGACCACCAUAGUCCCUGUGCCCAAGAACACUAAGGUAAUCUGCCUAAAUGACUGCCGACCCGUAUCACUCACGUCUGUAGCCAUGAAAGGCUUUGAAAGGCUGGUCAUGGCUCACAUCAACACCAUUAUCCCAGAAUCCCUAGAGUCACUCCAAUUUCUGCCAUUUAUCACUCGGCCCCCUUCUUUGCCACAACAGCCACUUUAAUAACCCUACCUGCAUUUACAUAAUUACCUCAACUACCUCGACACCGGUGCCCCCGCACGUUGACACAUUGACACAUUAUUUACUUCUGCUCUUCAAUUAUUUGUUUUUCUUAUGUCUUACUUUUUUUUUUGGGUGGGGGGGGGGGUAUUUUCUUAAAACUGCAUUGUUGGUUAAGGGCUUGUAAGUAAGCAUUUCACUGUUGAAUUCGGCGCAUGUGACAAAUACAAUUGGAUUUGACACAGUUUAUAUCUAAAACAUACAGUAGAUGCUUGAAAGACUUUCAGCAUUCAGUCCAAUCUUAACUAUCUCUGAAUGGUCAUAUGCGAUACAAGUAUAUUUCAUACAAUAGUCAAAAUGUUUGUAUUUACUACAUUAUUCAUUGAUAUCUGUCAGAUUUUUUGGAGCAGUGAAUGGAGAGAGUGUGGGAAACCAAGGAAAACUCACUCACAGACUGCCUUUGGGACAAUAGACUUCUGUACCCUGUAUGAUGAGGGGUGAGAAGGAAUUUCACUAGUAAGGUUUCAUCACUGAAUUCUAGAAAUGAAUUAUAUCAGAGAUAUAAUGAAUUAUAAGGACUUCACAAGUGUUUUUUUUAUUAUUACAGGGUGUAAGAGGAAUUAGGUAACAGAUCAGGAAAUACAUUAUAUUACACUUUAUACAAACAUGAUUACAUUGUAGUAGUCCUGUGUAACUCAGUAGGUAGAGCAUGGCGCUUGCAAUGCCAGGGUUGUGGGUUCAAGACCUUCAGGGGAUCAGUACAACAACAAACAAGUAUGAAAGUAUAUGCCUGGAUAAGUGUCUGCUAAAAUGUGAAUGUUGUAUCGAAGAUCAUAAAUCUUAUAUCUAAAACAUAAACGCUUUAAAAAUCUUCAGUUUUCAGUCCAUUCUUGACCAUCUCUGAAUGGCCAUAUGCUGUACAAGUCUAUAUCAUCCGAUAGUCUAAAUAUUUGUAUUUACUACAUUCUUAAUUUAUGUAUGUCAGAUGUAUUUAUUUUCUCCCCCAGGGGCUUAAUGGGAACUGCUUGUAUAGAGAUUAAUUAACAUUUAACAAGGCACACUUCUGUUGUUAGGUGGAAGCUCUGUCAAUGGGCAGAGUGUGGGAAAGCUCUGGAAAGCAGAGUCUCAGUCUAGUGUCAUCAUCAUCAUCAGCCCGACCAGCACCCGUCUGUCUGGGGAACACCCAGAGUCACUGGGGAAUAGCCACACUUAUAGAAGGGAAUUAAACAAUAGCUGAAUACAUCAGUUUCUCCAGGGUACAAACAUAACGUAAAAAUGAACACUGAUAAAGUACAGUAUAUGUCUUGCAGCACACUUUUAGGAUAAAAUGUGUUUCCCUCCAGAAUCCAGAUGGUCUGUGAUGUCAUACUCUGUCUAUAAUACAACACAGAGCCAAUAGCCGUCACUGAGGGUUCACUGAGCAGCUUUUGUAGUGCAUUGAUCAUGGCACACAUGACUCAGUGUGGGAAACUCAGAUCAGCUAUCUACUCACACUGACCAGUAGCCUCAAGACAGAGGAAACAUCUGCUACCUCUGGACUCCAGAGUGCUUGACCAUAUAAUUACUACUUCUGACUUUCGAGACCUCAUGAUAUUAAUACAAUAUCGAACCUGUGAACUUAACCACAAGAUAUAUUUCUCUGCAAAUAAACAUACUUUAUAUUUUCGAAACACGUCAUAUUUGACCCAAUAUUUUUUUUUUGUGACAAAUAUGAAAUUCAGCAGCACAGAAAAUUAUAAAUAUGUUU
ensembl:lncRNA